rnacentral:rRNA from 1 species
GACGAACGCUGGCGGCGUGCUUAACACAUGCAAGUCGAGCGGAGCGGCGAACGGGUGAGUAACGCGUGAGUAACUGCCCCCCUCUCUGGGAUAGCAGUUGGACACGGCUGCUAAUACCGGAUAGUGGGGGCUGACUCGCGUCAUAUCAGCUUGUUGGUGGGGUAGUGGCCUACCAAGUCGACGACGGGUAGCCGGACUGAGAGGGCGACCGGCCACAUUGUGCUGGGGAGCGGGCCAAACUCCUACGGGAGGCAGCAGUGGGGAUUAUUGCACAAUGGGGGAAAUCCGGAUGCAGCAACGCCGCGUGCGGGAGGACGGCCUUCGGGGUGUAAACCGCUUUCAGCCAUGACGCGGUAGUGGCAGAAGAAGCACCGGCUAACUACGUGCCAGCAGCCGCGGUAAUAC